rnacentral:rRNA from 1 species
GACGAACGCUGGCGGCGUGCUUAACACAUGCAAGUCGAACGGUGAAGCGCCUUCCUUUUUGGUGGGUGUGGAUGAGUGGCGAACGGGUGAGUAACACGUGAGUAACCUGCCCCCUUCUUCUGGAUAACCGCAUGAAAGUGUGGCUAAUACGGGAUAUUCUGGGUCUGUCGCAUGAUGGGUCUGGGAAAGAUAUUGUUUCGGUGGGGGAUGGGCUCGCGGCCUAUCAGCUUGUUGGUGGGGUGAUGGCCUACCAAGGCGGUGACGGGUAGCCGGCCUGAGAGGGUGGACGGUCACACUGGGACUGAGACACGGCCCAGCCUCCUACGGGAGGCAGCAGUGGGGAAUAUUGCACAAUGGGCGCAAGCCUGAUGCAGCGACGCCGCGUGAGGGAUGGAGGCCUUCGGGUUGUGAACCUCUUUCGCCAGUGAAGCAGGCCUGCCUCGUUUGUGGGUGGGUUGACGGUAGCUGGAUAAGAAGCGCCGGCUAACUACGU